rnacentral:sRNA from 1 species
GCUGGGCAUGGUGGCACAUGCAUGUAAUCCCAGUGGCUCAGGAGGCUGAGGCAGGAGAAUCGCAAGUUCAAAGCCAGCCCCAGCAAUUUAGUGAGGCCCUAAGCAAUUUAGCGAGAUCCUGUCUCUA